UGUGAAGUGACCGCUGCAGGAGGAGAGUCAUUUACAACAUCUUUGACCAUCACUGUGAAACCAUCUGCACCCACAACGACAAAGUCUUCCAUGAACCCGACCACAAAGGAAAUCAGACUUCAGUCAUGCGCCCCUCUGCCGCUGGGCCUCCACUGGUGGAUCUGGGUUGCUCU